rnacentral:rRNA from 1 species
UACGUAGGGUGCGAGCGUUAAUCGGAAUUACUGGGCGUAAAGUGUGCGCAGGCGCUCUGCAAGUCGAGUGUGAAAUCCCCGAGCUUAACUUGGGAAUUGCGCUCGAAACUAUGGAGCUGGAGUGUGGCAGAGGAAGGUGGAAUUCCACGUGUAGCGGUGAAAUGCGUAGAGAUGUGGAGGAACACCGAUGGCGGAAGGCAGCCUUCUGGGCCAACACUGACGCUCAUGCACGAAAGCGUGGGAGCAAACAGG